CCGCAUACGCAGUUACAAAAACAAAACGCUUAGCAAAAGAAAGGCUCUCCCUCUCUCGCACAGGCACUAAUAAGAAUCGCAUGCAAACGUCGUACAAUAUCUACAUCUACCGACGUCGUACUUUAACUUUAUUUAGGACAUUUGUGUGUCAGUUGAAGACUAACAGGUCUUGAACAAGACUAAUAUCGAGCAGACGUUAGAUAACACGGUAAACGCAAACACCAAGGCCAGUCUAGUCCAGCUAACCUCACCGCAACCAACAUUUUUCGAUAGAUAAAAGGUAGCCUAAUUUAUGAGCGUGCAACAGCUUCUUCUAUUUUAGACAAUCUGAUAUCAAAUUCAGCUCAUUAUGGUUGUUAUCAGUUAUAACGUUAACGAGCUAUAUGAACUAGCGUGAGCUUUAGAAUUGACCAAUAGCGUUAGCUAGCAAGUGGUAAAUUAGUGGUUUAAUCUCUCCAUCAGGACGUUGGACAACUUAACGUUUGUGAGACUUGACAGCGAGGACGGUGCGUAAAUACAUGAAACCGAUGCCACGGGGUCUGUUCUGAAAAGUAAUUGCCGUUAGCUGCCAGAGACAAGGCCCUUCCUUACCUGGACCAUCAGAGGCGGACCGGGCAGGUGAAUUGAGCUUCGGUCGCUUUGGGUUGGGAGGUCCGACAUCCAGCAAGUUCUCCGCCAUGGUAAAGGACUCUGAUUGUUACUUUAACAGCCGAAGGAAAAUCAACAAAAUCUUCCAGACAGGCUGCAGCUGGGAUCAGCCCAAAUCGAUCCGUAGGUUUUCUUUCUUGCAACCACUCCGUUAAAAGAAAAAUAAUUAGCUAGCUAGCCAGCUAGCAAGGUAAAUGCUUCAAAAAAAUAGCAACAGCGCCCCGCUCCGCCAUUCACCCCAUGAUAAUCCAACACCCAACACCCACAUUAUUAUCAUUAAUAAUUACCCCCGAUGAAAAAAAUAUUUUAUUCCAAAAAAGAAAGUAAAAAAAUUAUAGUAAUGCAUAAACUGAAUUUUAGGUCCCUUGCCCCACAAGUCGUUACGUUACCUUCGCAUCUUUACAAAACCGUUUUUUCUGAGCGCAAUUUGAUUGCAUCAAAUUGCAUUU